rnacentral:rRNA from 1 species
UACGUAGGGUGCGAGCGUUGUCCGGAAUUACUGGGCGUAAAGGGCGCGUAGGCGGCCGCCGCAAGUCGGUUGUGAAAUCUCUGGGCUUAACCCAGAAAGGUCAACCGAUACUGCGGGGCUAGAGUGCAGAAGGGGCAACUGGAAUUCUCGGUGUAGCGGUGAAAUGCGUAGAUAUCGAGAGGAACACCUGCGGCGAAGGCGGGUUGCUGGGCUGACACUGACGCUGAAGCGCGAAAGCUAGGGGAGCGAACGGG